GUGGGGAAUUUUGCGCAAUGGGCGAAAGCCUGACGCAGCAACGCCGCGUGUGUGAUGAAGGCCCUCGGGUUGUAAAGCACUGUUCAGAGGGAAGAACAAGCGGGGGUAACGCCUCGACCUGACGGUACCUCUGAAGGAAGCACCGGCUAACUCCGUGCCAGCAGCCGCGGUAAUACGGAGGGUGCUAGCGUUGUUCGGAAUCAUUGGGCGUAAAGGGCGUCUAGGUGGCUGUUCAAGUCAGAUGUGAAAUGCCUCGGCUCAACCGAGGAAGUGCAUUUGAAACUGGAUGGCUCGAGUGUCGGAGGGGGCAGCGGAAUUCCCGGUGUAGAGGUGAAAUUCGUAGAUAUCGGGAGGAACACCAGCGGCGAAGGCGGCUGCCUGGCCGACUACUGACACUGAAGCGCGAAAGCGUGGGGAGCAAACAGGAUUAGAAACCCCUGUAGUCC
rnacentral:rRNA from 1 species